GAAAGCGUGGGGAGCGAAACAGGAUUAGAUACCCUGGUAGUCCACGCCGUAAACGAUGAGUGCUAAGUGUUAGGGGGUUUCCGCCCCUUAGUGCUGCAGCUAACGCAUUAAGCACUCCGCCUGGGGAGUACGGUCGCAAGACUGAAACUCAAAGGAAUUGACGGGGGCCCGCACAAGCGGUGGAGCAUGUGGUUUAAUUUGAAGCAACGCGAAGAACCUUACCAGGUCUUGACAUCCUCUGACAAUCCUAGAGAUAGGACGUCCCCUUCGGGGGCAGAGUGACAGGUGGUGCAUGGUUGUCGUCAGCUCGUGUCGUGAGAUGUUGGGUUAAGUCCCGCAACGAGCGCAACCCUUGAUCUUAGUUGCCAGCAUUCAGUUGGGCACUCUAAGGUGACUGCCGGUGACAAACCGGAGGAAGGUGGGGAUGACGUCAAAUCAUCAUGCCCCUUAUGACCUGGGCUACACACGUGCUACAAUGGACAGAACAAAGGGCAGCGAAACCGCGAGGUUAAGCCAAUCCCACAAAUCUGUUCUCAGUUCGGAUCGCAGUCUGCAACUCGACUGCGUGAAGCUGGAAUCGCUAGUAAUCGCGGAUCAGCAUGCCG
rnacentral:rRNA from 1 species